AGUGUCCAAAAUAUACUGAGAAUGUUACUAGGUCUCAGAAUGCUGACUAAAGUGUCAAAAGAUUGCCCAGUAAUGGCUAGUGGUGACUCUGGUUACAGGAGGUCAUUAAUCUACUUUGGGUUUUAGUCUGCAUUUUAUGGAAAUUCUCAGAGGUUCUCUAUCCUAUCCUACAAAUGGGAUAAGCAGUUUCGAUAUCUCUUAUAAAGUGCCAGCUAAAACUCAAGAGUGGAUUCACAGCCCCCUGAUGCUGGAAUCACCAGCCUCUGUCAGAACUGCCUUUGAUCUCCAAGCAGGAAUAUGGACUUCAGGGGGUGAAGGCUGAUGUCAUUAUUUGUGUUGGCUUUAAUGCCCAAGUACCAAUGUCUUCCUUACUCUCAAAUGGCUACAAUCUUCACUUACUCAAUAUGAAGGUCUUCGUCUUGUUUAGAAGGUAGUACAGCAAAUUCUCAUAGUUUGUCUCACUUUGGCCUCUCUCUCUCUCUCUCUCUCUCACACACACACACACACACACACACACAUACACACACAUUAUUUUACAGUUAUAACUCAAAGGCCCUUCCUCUGUGACAUCACAAAGCUCUGCCUCCUGAUCUCGGGUUUUGGCCCUGAAGUCUCAAGGAAUGGAAAGCUGCAGACCUAGUAACUGUAAUACUGAGCAAAAAUCUACAUCUGGAGUCAAAUUCCACGCAAAAUUUCAUCACUUGGGACUGGAAAGGAGCAAGAGUAAUACCAGGAGAAGGAAGAAGCAUAUUUUUUCACAGAAUAAAUUCUGUGAAGAUAUCACAGGCCCAGCCUUGUCCUGUGUAGAAGGUUUUAUGUAAAGACUGUCCUGGGAGAUGGAGAAAAGAAUGAAAAAGACAGAAAGGGAGAAAGGACAUUUUUCCAAUGGAGAUGGUCUCAUGGUUCCAAUAUUUACUAUCAGAUAUAACUUAAAAGCAAUGGAUAGUAGCUGCAAGUUUUUCAUUGUUGUAAAAAAAAACCUCAGAAGUUGUCAUUUAUUAUAGGCUUCUUUUGCCUACCACAGAAUUUACAGAUUAGUCAAGUGAAGAAUGAGAGGGAACAAAUUCAUUUGUGAUGCUUAUCAGUUAUAAUGUAAGAAAACUGAACAUAGAAAGGUAAAAUUGGAACAAACAACAA
rnacentral:lncRNA from 1 species